rnacentral:rRNA from 1 species
GAUGAACGCUAGCGGCAGGCCUAAUACAUGCAAGUCGAGGGGUAAAUAUUGUAGCAAUACGAUAUGAGACCGGCGCACGGGUGCGUAACACGUAUGCAACCUACCUUAUACUGGGGUAUAGCUCCGAGAAAUCGGAAUUAAUCCCCCAUAACACUGCGCUGUGGCAUCACAGUGCAGUUAAAGCUCCGGCGGUAUAAGAUGGGCAUGCGGUGCAUUAGCUAGUUGGUGAGGUAAUGGCUCACCAAGGCUACGAUGCAUAGGGGGUCUGAGAGGAUGAUCCCCCACACUGGUACUGAGACACGGACCAGACUCCUACGGGAGGCAGCAGUAGGGAAUAUUGGUCAAUGGACGCAAGUCUGAACCAGCCAUGCCGCGUGCAGGACGACGGCCCUAUGGGUUGUAAACUGCUUUUAUAUGGGAAGAAACCCCUGGAUGCGUCCGGGGCUGACGGUACCAUAUGAAUAAGGAUCGGCUAACUUCGUGCCAGCCGCCGCAGUAAAAC